GCCGGAGUGGUGGAACAGGUAGACACGAGGGACUUAAAAUCCCUUGCCGAAUAGGCGUACGGGUUCGAUUCCCGUCUCUGGUACUA
rnacentral:tRNA from 1 species